rnacentral:rRNA from 1 species
GGGUGAGUAACACGUGGGUAACCUGCCCAGAAGCAGGGGAUAACACCUGGAAACAGAUGCUAAUACCGUAUAACAGAGAAAACCGCCUGGUUUUCUUUUAAAAGAUGGCUCUGCUAUCACUUCUGGAUGGACCCGCGGCGCAUUAGCUAGUUGGUGAGGUAACGGCUCACCAAGGCGAUGAUGCGUAGCCGACCUGAGAGGGUAAUCGGCCACAUUGGGACUGAGACACGGCCCAGACUCCUACGGGAGGCAGCAGUAGGGAAUCUUCCACAAUGGACGCAAGUCUGAUGGAGCAACGCCGCGUGAGUGAAGAAGGGUUUCGGCUCGUAAAGCUCUGUUGUUAAAGAAGAACGUGGGUGAGAGUAACUGUUCACCCAGUGACGGUAUUUAACCAGAAAGCCACGGCUAACUACGUGCCAGCAGCCGCGGUAAUACGUAGGUGGCAAGCGUUAUCCGGAUUUAUUGGGCGUAAAGCGAGCGCAGGCGGUCUUUUAAGUCUAAUGUGAAAGCCUUCGGCUCAACCGAAGAAGUGCAUUGGAAACUGGGAGACUUGAGUGCAGAAGAGGACAGUGGAACUCCAUGUGUAGCGGUGAAAUGCGUAGAUAUAUGGAAGAACACCAGUGGCGAAGGCGGCUGUCUGGUCUGUAACUGACGCUGAGGCUCGAAAGCAUGGGUAGCGAACAGGAUAGAUACCCUGGUAGUCCAUGCCGUAACGAUGAUUUAAGUUU